GUCGUGAUUCUGAACAACAUUUCUCACAAGAAGAAACAAGAUUUCUCUGUGCAAAAAUGUGGUGUGAAGCUUCGCUUUUGAAUUAUUAAGCAAAAACACGGACUAUUUUUGCGACGUACAAAUUGUACAUUUCUUAACACAUUAUUUGUUAUAUAAUAAACAAAUUAAUUUUCUCACCGGUCAGAAGUCGUAAACAAGAUAACGCGUAGUCCAGGAGACACAAAUAAGAUAAGCCAAAAACGGUAACGCAAUUCAGAGAUAAGAAAAGUAUAAAAACAGAAGCAGGCAGGCACGCGUGAGAUAUUCGGAGAUUCAGAGUCGAAGGAGACAUUUGGAGCUCACGUGUUGUGGAGGCUAUUAGUGGAAGCAAUUUUUUUUUUAUUUGUUACUUAUGUAAGUAAAGUUAUCGCAAAAAAACUAGAUCUACAAAUACUUUUUGGACCUACUGUAAGUUCUAUACUGAUAGCAAAGGUUCGGCAAGAGCGCUCACUUCGUGCUGGGUGUCACCAGGAGACUGCUAAAGAUGCGGAUUUCGAUUGACGGUUCGGCGUAUUUAGUUUUUGUCUGAACAUACUGUACGCCUUCUUCUAAGGCGAAGCAAGUUCGGACAAGAUAUUGUGUAGUGCCAGUCAAAACGUGUUACGAAGAAAGCGAGGGUGCCGAAGCCAUCAGAAAUAUAAAAAGCCACAACAGUGAAGCGAACCGCCACCGCGUCCGAGGCCCCGGCGGAUACGCGCAAAUAAAAAGGUUUAGUUAUAGUAAGCCAAGGGUUGUUCUUUACCCCCAUAUCAGUCCCCUUCAUUCCGCGAUCGGCCCCCUCGCAACGACCCUGGUUCGCUGAAGCGUCCGGCACCAGGGGGCCCGCGAGUCGCGUACGCCGCCGUGUCGCUUAGCAAUGCGGCAGGUGGAGAACAACAACGUUACAAUCUUA